GUCCUGGUCGAUUAGUGGUCAAAUCAUCUCGUUGUGGUGUCAACGGCGCCGAGAUCUUUCACAACCGAGAAGCCGAGGGCUCGACUCCCUCCCGGGACA